rnacentral:rRNA from 1 species
AUAUCAAUAAGCGGAGGAAAAGAAACUAACAAGGAUUCCCCUAGUAACUGCGAGUGAAGCGGGAAAAGCUCAAAUUUAAAAUCUGGCAGUCUUUGAUUGUCCGAGUUGUAAUCUAGAGAAGUGUUACCCGCGUUGGACCGUGUAUAAGUCUCCUGGAAUGGAGCGUCAUAGAGGGUGAGAAUCCCGUCUUUAACACGGACUACCAAGGCUUUGUGGUGCGCUCUCAAUGAGUCGGGUUGCUUGCGAAUGCAGCCCAAAAUGGGUGGUAAAUUCCAUCUAAGGCUAAAUACCGGUGGGAGACCGAUAGCGCACAAGUA